rnacentral:rRNA from 1 species
AUUGAACGCUGGCGGCAGGCCUAACACAUGCAAGUCGAACGGUAACAGAAAGCAGCUUGCUGCUUUGCUGACGAGUGGCGGACGGGUGAGUAAUGUCUGGGAAACUGCCUGAUGGAGGGGGAUAACUACUGGAAACGGUAGCUAAUACCGCAUAACGUCGCAAGACCAAAGAGGGGGACCUUCGGGCCUCUUGCCAUCGGAUGUGCCCAGAUGGGAUUAGCUAGUAGGUGGGGUAACGGCCUACCGAGGCGAUGAUGCAUAGCCGACCUGAGAGGGUGAUCGGCCACACUGGAACUGAGACACGGUCCAGACUCCUACGGGAGGCAGCAGUGGGGAAUAUUGCACAAUGGGCGCAAGCCUGAUGCAGCCAUGCCGCGUGUAUGAAGAAGGCCUUCGGGUUGUAAAGUACUUUCAGCGGGGAGGAAGGGAGUAAAGUUAAUACCUUUGCUCAUUGACGUUACCCGCAGAAGAAGCACCGGCUAACUCCGUGCCAGCAGCCGCAGUAACAC